rfam:Trachymyrmex zeteki contig14664, whole genome shotgun sequence.
CAAUCGGCCCUUUUCAGGGCCACCUUGUACAUAAUUAGAGUGUAAAU